rnacentral:lncRNA from 1 species
UUUGUUUGUUUUGAAAAACAAGUCCCUUCUGCCGAACUGGAAUUUUUUUCAUCUUCAUAAUUCCCUUAUGCCGAGCUGGAAUUUUUCUGACCGAGUCUCCGUUUGUUCCCAUAAUGGCGGCGAGAAUCCGACCGAGUCUCGACGACAGCUCAUUGCUACGACUCGCGACUGCGUCCCUUGAGUCUCUAUCCGAAAUCCAAAUGCUGACGAAGAGGGCCGCCUCCACGAACGGUUCUGAAAUCACGCCGUGCGUUGAUGA